UGUGGUUGGCUACUUUCCCACCAGUCUCAGAUGAGAAAACCCAAUCCCAUAAAACUUCACUGCCCAAGAUCACAAGAUGCUCAAAAGAUGAACUAGAAUGCAAGACUGAUGCUUUUUCUCCUAGAACAGGUUAUCUUCAAAAAGAAAGCUUGAAAGAUACUGAAUUUGUAUCAAGUUCAAAACAAGAAGAACAUUUAGCUAAACUAUUUGAUGAAAUUCUACAGCAGGUGUUUUCCAAGGUCCCGCGUGAGGCACCAUUUGAUAAAACAAGAACAGAAGUCAAAUCAAUUACAAAGAGAGACACAG